AGCGGGAACAUGGCGCCCGGAACUGGCGAGCGCGCCUAGCUGGCGGGACCGUUAGCUCGAGGCGGACGCGGCCCGGACCCGGUGGAUGUGGAGCAGUCGCCGCUGCCGGCGCCCAAGCCGACCCCAGGGCCGACCCCCGCAAGGAGCUGAAGGAGGUGGGAGCCCCAGUCGCCGCGGGCGUCGGCGCCGUCAAAGAAGAUGGCCACGGAGACAGCAGUGUGGUCAGAGUGGUGGAGCUGGUCAUCGGCGAGAGCUGCUCCAUGUCUGUCUGCUGAGUGCUAGAGCCUGUGGCCCACUGGCUUGCCUCACUGUGGUUGAUGGUGGCGGUGACAGAGACUGCAGCACGACCAGAGUGGCUUUUCUGGCUUUGCCCACCCAGCUGCUCCAUGCCAGGAGGAGGAGGAGACACCUAGAGCCUGCGACACCACGACUUGCCUCACUGCGGGU